rnacentral:rRNA from 1 species
CCUACGGGGGGCAGCAGUGGGGAAUCUUGCGCAAUGGGCGGAAGCCUGACGCAGCAACGCCGCGUGGGGGAUGACGGCCUUCGGGUUGUAAACCCCUUUCGCGAUCGACGCGGUAGGUCGAGAAGAAGCACCGGCCAACUACGUGCCAGCAGCCGCGGUAAUACGUAGGGUGCGAGCGUUGUCCGGAAUUAUUGGGCGUAAAGAGCUCGUAGGCGGUGUGUCACGUCGGCCGUGAAAACCUGGGGCUUAACUCUGGGCGUGCGGUCGAUACGGGCACACUUGAGUUCGGCAGGGGAGACUGGAAUUCCUGGUGUAGCGGUGAAAUGCGCAGAUAUCAGGAGGAACACCGGUGGCGAAGGCGGGUCUCUGGGCCGAACUGACGCUGAGGAGCGAAAGCAUGGGUAGCGAACAGGAUUAGAUACCCUUGUAGUC